rnacentral:lncRNA from 1 species
UUUUUUAGGGUUAAGUAUCAAAUAAGCCCCUAACGUGGAAGUCCUUAUUACAUCCAGCACCCUAUGGCAAGGGGUGUGUCAACUAAGCCCCUGAAGUACCUAAUUUUCUCCAAUUAAACCCUCUGCCCUAACGGAUAGUUAACUCCGUCAGUUUUUUUUUUUCUAAUUCUCUCCCCUCUUUUGUUUUGUGUCUCCGCCGCCACCAGUCUCCAGAUCUCGGCCUCCCUCUCACGAUUCCACCGCCGACUCCUCUCUGUUAUCUCCUCUCACUCACCUCUCUCAGAUCACCGGCACCUAAAUAGUGGCCACCACCG